rnacentral:rRNA from 1 species
AUUGAACGCUGGCGGCGUGCUUAACACAUGCAAGUCGAUCGGUAACAGGUGUAGCAAUACAUGCUGACGAGAGGCGGACGGGUGAGUAAUGCUUGGGAAUCUGCCUAUUAGUGGGGGACAACCCGGGGAAACUCGGGCUAAUACCGCAUACGCUCUACGGAGGAAAGCCGGGGACCGCAAGGCCUGGCGCUAAUAGAUGAGCCCAAGUCGGAUUAGCUAGUUGGUAGGGUAACGGCCUACCAAGGCGACAAUCCGUAGCUGGUCUGAGAGGACGACCAGCCACACCGGAACUGAGACACGGUCCGGACUCCUACGGGAGGCAGCAGUGGGGAAUAUUGGACAAUGGGGGCGACCCUGAUCCAGCGACGCCGCGUGGGUGAAGAAGGCCUGCGGGUUGUAAACGCCCUUUCGGGUGGGGAAGAAAAGUCUCGACCUAAUACGUCGGGACCUUGACGUAACCCAC